rnacentral:lncRNA from 1 species
UGUUUUUUUUUUUUAAGAAAAGAGAAUCCAAUGCAAAUAUAUACAUAUUCUCAUAAUUGUUAAAUACCUAAAUAAUAAAACAUAAAAAACUAAUUAGUAUUUAAUUAAAACAAAUUUUAAUUGUUUUGAUUAAAUAACUAAUAAAAAUGACCAAUUAGAAAUAGAAAAAUGAGUAUGAAUUUAUUCGGAAAAUUAAAUCAAACACACCAAAAUUAUCAGCACAAAACGCAUUAUUUUUAAAAAAAUACAUUGUUUUCGUUAGAUUCUGACAAUUCAAUCAAUUUUUGUAUUCUCAAAUAAAUUCGUCCUGACUGACACUUUAGGUGUUUAUUCAUGAUGC